GGCAUGCUUUACACAUGCAAGUCGAACGGUAACAGGCCUUCGGGCGCUGACGAGUGGCGAACGGGUGAGUAAUGCAUCGGAACGUGCCCAGAGGUGGGGGAUAACGCAGCGAAAGCUGUGCUAAUACCGCAUAUUAUCUGAGGAUGAAAGCGGGGGACUAAGCAGCAAUGUUUGGCCUCGCGCCUUUGGAGCGGCCGAUGUCAGAUUAGGUAGUUGGUGGGGUAAAGGCCUACCAAGCCGACGAUCUGUAGCUGGUCUGAGAGGACGACCAGCCACACUGGGACUGAGACACGGCCCAGACUCCUACGGGAGGCAGCAGUGGGGAAUUUUGGACAAUGGGCGCAAGCCUGAUCCAGCAAUGCCGCGUGCAGGAAGAAGGCCUUCGGGUUGUAAACUGCUUUUGUACGGAACGAAAAGGCUCUGGUUAAUACCUGGGGCUCAUGACGGUACCGUAAGAAUAAGCACCGGCUAACUACGUG
rnacentral:rRNA from 1 species